rnacentral:rRNA from 1 species
UACGGAGGGUGAAAGCGUUAUCCGGAUUCACUGGGUUUAAAGGGUGCGUAGGUGGGCAGUUAAGUCAGUGGUGAAAUCUCCGGGCUCAACCCGGAAACUGCCAUUGAUACUAUCAGUCUUGAAUAUCGUGGAGGUAAGCGGAAUAUGUCAUGUAGCGGUGAAAUGCUUAGAUAUGACAUAGAACACCAAUUGCGAAGGCAGCUUACUACCCGAAUAUUGACACUGAGGCACGAAAGCGUGGGGAUCAAACAGG